rnacentral:rRNA from 16 species
CGGGGAAACUCGGAUUAAUACCUCAUGGUAUCACAGAUAGGCAUCUUGAAGUGAUUAAAGAUUUAUCGGUACAGGAUGAGUAUGCGUCUGAUUAGUUAGUUGGUGAGGUAACGGCUCACCAAGACCACGAUCAGUAGGGGUUCUGAGAGGAUGAUCCCCCACACUGGCACUGAGAUACGGGCCAGACUCCUACGGGAGGCAGCAG